ensembl:lincRNA
UACAGUGAAAACUCUUCCUUAGUGCUGGGGGCCUACUUCAGUUCGUAGAGGAUUUGCACAGUAUGCACAAAUCUCUGGGUUUGAAUUCCCGUACUGCAUUAAAAAAAUUGGAUGUGGGACUGGAGAGAUGGCUCAUCGGUUAAGAACACUGGUUGUUCUGCAGAAGAUCCAGAUUUGAAUGCCAGCACCCACUCAGCCGCUAACAACUGUCUGUAACUCCAGUCCCAGGGAAUCCAACAGCCUUUUCUGACCUCCCCGAGCAUUGCACAAUACGGGUGCACUAACCUACAUGCAGGCAUGACACACAUACACAUAAAAAUAAUAAAUAAAAUUUUUUAAAAUUAAAAAAAUAAAAUUGGAUGUGGUGAAGCAUGCCUGUAAUAGCCCUCUGGAGGCGGAAGGAGGAAAAUCAGCUUUUUGAGUCAUUCUUUGCUACAUAGUGAGUUUGAAGUGAGCCCGGAAUACACGAGACCCUGUCUCAACAAAUGACAUAAACAUUUCCCCAAAGUAACCUAUGAAUGGUUUAUCUCAUAAGUAAAAGAAGAGAAAAUAGAAGAAAGAGACCUACUGUCAGACUUACAGGACAUCAGUGACAGCGAGAGGAAAACCAGCUCUGCUGAGUCCUCAUCAGCAGAAUCAGGUUCAGGCUCUGAAGAGGAAGAGGAGGAGGAAGAGGAAGAGGAGGAAGAAGGGAGCACCAGUGAGGAGUCAGAGGAGGAGGAGGAAGAAGAGGAAGAAGAGGAGGAGACUGGGAGCAACUCUGAGGAGGCCUCAGAGCAGUCUGCGGGUUCCUGACAUACUACCCUGGAAAGAGGAUCAAUGCAGAAGAUGGCCUCAAGCACGAGUAUUUCCGAGAGACCCCCCUCCCCAUCGACCCCUCCAUGUUUCCCACAUGGCCUGCCAAAAGCGAGCAACAGAGGGUGAAGCGUGGCACAAGUCCACAGCCACCAGAGGGCGGCCUAGGCUACAGCCAGCUGGGUGACGACGACCUGAAGGAGACAGGCUUCCACCUCACCACUACGAACCAGGGAGCCUCCGCUGCAGGCCCCGGCUUCAGCCUCAAGUUCUGAGGUCAAGAGUGGCCCUGGCCCAGCCAGGGAGAGACAGCUUGAGCUGCUGAGUCAGAAUGCCUAUCUUGGAACUGCUCAUCUGAACUUUGUCUUUCCUUCUUUUUGAAAUAUAUAUUUUGGUUUAUAAAUUUGUAGAAUUAAAUCACAUUUUCCUUCUGGAAGGCAAGCUGUUUUCAGAGGUGUCGUGAGUGCCUGCAGGUGCCACAGAUGUCCUGCCCCUCCCCACGGCAGGACCUGGUCUGGAGCAGAGCUGGGGUUCUCUGCCUCUCAGUCUUGGAGGCUGCGGCUUGUGUGUGGUGAUUGAGGCAGCUUGCUUCUUCCUGGGGUGUCAGCACCAGCCCCAUCCACACUGGCCUCAGCCCCAGAAACCAGGUGUGUGACAGCCUCAGCCAAGGUGGAUUUUUAUACAUGAGGUUUUUUACACAGUGGAUUUUUGGGGGGGGGGUCUUUUUGAGACGGUCUCCCUGUAGCCCCUGCUGUCCUAGAACUAUGUAGACCAGGCUGGCCUUGAACUCACAGAGAUCCACCUGCCUCUGCCUCCGAACUGCUGGGAUUAAAGGCGUGUGCCACCACGUCCAGCCACAGUGGAUUUUUAUAUGUGUUUUAAGGAGGAGUAAAUUAUUCUUGGAGGAAGCUCUUGUGUUUUGUUUUUUCAUUGUGCUGGUCACCAGGUGAGCCCUGUGGAUAUGCCUGGGAGGGGAGCUGCUAGCUGUCUGGACUUGGGUAAAUAGAUUGAGCUGGCAGUAUUAGAUACAGCCCUUCACCCCCCAUCUCCAUGAGCAAGCUCUUGCAGAACAGGUGCCUAUACCUGCUGUGGCCUCCACCUCUGCCCAAGCUGAUUCUCAGUCCCCCUCCCUUAUAGUAAAGCC